rnacentral:rRNA from 1 species
UGGGCCCGCGGCCUAUCCUUUUGUUGGUGGGGUAAUGGCCUACCAAGGCGACGACGGGUAAUCGGCCUGAGAGGGUGACCGGCCACACUGGGACUGAGAUACGGCCCAGACUCCUACGGGAGGCACCACUGGGGAAUAUUGCACAAUGGGCGCAACCCUGAUGCAGCGACGCCGCGUGAGGGAUGACGGCCUUCGGGUUGUAAACCUCUUUCAAUAGGGACGAAGCGCAAGUGACGGUACCUAUAGAAGAAGGACCGGCCAACUACGUGCCAGCAGCCGCGGUAAUACGUAGGGUCCGAGCGUUGUCCGGAAUUACUGGGCGUAAAGAGCUCGUAGGUGGUUUGUCGCGUUGUUCGUGAAAACUCACAGCUUAACUGUGGGCGUGCGGGCGAUACGGGCAGACUAGAGUACUGCAGGGGAGACUGGAAUUCCUGGUGUAGCGGUGGAAUGCGCAGAUAUCAGGAGGAACACCGGUGGCGAAGGCGGGUCUCUGGGCAGUAACUGACGCUGAGGAGCGAAAGCGUGGGGAGCGAACAGGAUUACAUACCCUGGUAGUCCACGCCGUAAACGGUGGGUACUAGUGUGGGUUUCCUUCCUUGAGAUCCGCGCCGUAACUAACGCAUUAAGUACCCCCGACUGGGGAGUACGGCCGAAAGCUAAAACUC